UCGGAGAUUCAUGGAUUCCAUACUUUGCAAGAUCUGGAUAUACAAACUAUGUUGGAUGAAGCUUACACUAGGUGGCUCCGUCCAAACGAGAUCCAUGCUCUUCUUUGUAAUCAUAAAUUCUUCACCAUCAACGUCAAACCAGUGAAUUUGCCCAAAAGUGGUACAAUUGUGUUGUUCGACCGGAAGAUGUUGAGGAACUUUAGAAAGGAUGGUCAUAACUGGAAAAAGAA